AUUGAACGCUGGCGGCAGGCUUAACACAUGCAAGUCGAGCGGAGACUUCGGUCUUAGCGGCGAACGGGUGAGUAAUACCUAGGAAUCUGCCUAUUAGUGGGGGAUAACGAAUCGAAAGGUUCGCUAAUACCGCAUACGUCCUACGGGAGAAAGGGGGGAGUCUUCGGACCUCUCGCUAAUAGAUGAGCCUAGGCCGGAUUAGCUAGUUGGUAGGGUAAAGGCCUACCAAGGCGACGAUCUGUAGCUGGUCUGAGAGGAUGGCCAGCCACACUGGAACUGAGACACGGUCCAGACUCCUACGGGAGGCAGCAGUGGGGAAUAUUGGACAAUGGGGGCGAACCCUGAUCCAGCCAUGCCGCGUGUGUGAAGAAGGCCUUCGGUUGGUAAGACACUUAAGUACGAGGA
rnacentral:rRNA from 1 species